CCUACGUGGGGCUGCAGUGGGGAAUAUUGCGCAAUGGUCGAAAGCCUGACGCAGCGACGCCGCGUGAAUGAUGAAGGUCUUCGGAUCGUAAACCUCUUUCAGCAGGGAAGAACAUUCACUGUACUAAUCAUGAGUGAAUUGACGGUACCUGUAAAAGCAGCACCGGCUAACUCCGUGCCAGCAGCCGCGGUAAUACGGAGGGUGCGAGCGUUGAUCGGAAGUACUGGGCGUAAAGCGCCCGUAGGCGGUGUUGUAAGUCAAGGGUGAAAUCCCCGCGCUCAACGUGGGAACGGCCUUUGAUACUGGAAUACUGGAGUGUGUGAGAGGAUAGUAGAAUUCCAGGUGUAGCAGUGAAAUGCGUAGAUAUCUGGAGGAACAUCAGUGGCGAAGGCGACUAUCUGGCACGUAACUGACGCUGAGGUGCGAAAGCGUGGGUAGCAAACAGGAUUAGAUACCCGAGUAGUC
rnacentral:rRNA from 1 species